AUGGAAAAUAGAAAUACUUUUUCUUGGGUAAAGGAACAGAUAACUCGAUCGAUUUCUGUAGCUAUCAUGAUAUACGUAAUAACUCGGACAUCUAUUUCAAAUGCAUAUCCCAUUUUUGCGCAGCAGGGUUAUGAAAACCCACGAGAAGCAACUGGACGAAUUGUAUGUGCCAAUUGCCAUUUAGCUAGCAAGCCCGUCGAUACUGAAGUUCCCCAAGCUGUGCUUCCCGAUACUGUAUUUGAAGCAGUUCUUCGAAUUCCUUAUGAUAUGCAAUUGAAACAAGUUCUUGCUAAUGGAAAAAAGGGAGGGUUGAAUGUAGGUGCUGUUCUUAUUUUGCCCGAGGGAUUCGAAUUAGCGCCGCCCGAUCGUAUUUCCCCUGAGUUAAAAGAAAAGAUAGGAAAUCUUGCUUUUCAGAGUUAUCGUCCCGAUAAAAACAUUCUUGUGAUAGGCCCUGUUCCCGGUAAGAAAUAUAGUGAAAUUGUCUUUCCCAUUCUUUCCCCUGAUCCUGCUACGAAGAAAGAUGCUCAUUUCUUAAAAUAUCCCAUAUAUGUAGGGGGAAACCGAGGAAGAGGACAGAUCUAUCCUGAUGGUAGCAAGAGUAACAAUACAGUCUAUAAUGCUACGUCAACAGGUAUAGUAAGAAAAAUACUACGUAAAGAAAAGGGGGGGUAUGAAAUAUCCAUAGUUGAUGCAUCAGAUGGACGCCAAGUGAUUGAUAUUAUACCUCCCGGACCAGAACUUCUUGUUUCAGAGGGGGAAUCCAUCAAGCUUGAUCAACCAUUAACAAGCAAUCCUAAUGUGGGAGGUUUUGGUCAGGACGCAGAAAUCGUGCUUCAGGAUCCAUUACGUGUCCAAGGCCUUUUGUUCUUCUUCGCAUCCGUUAUUUUGGCACAAGUUUUUUUGGUUCUCAAAAAGAAACAGUUUGAAAAGGUUCAAUUGUACGAAAUGAAUUUCUAG
rnacentral:rRNA from 1 species